AGAAUGUGGUGUAAAGGAAACACAAAGGAUUUUGAGUUCUUAAAUAUAGGUUCAAUUCCUAUUGUUCUAG
rnacentral:tRNA from 1 species